rnacentral:lncRNA from 1 species
AUGGUGAAUUGUUUGUUGCGGCGAGAUGAAAAAUGGGAGAAGAAGAUGUUGAAGGUUAAAUUCUGUAGUACCCCUACAUCUCCACGGUUACUUACGAGUAGAACCUCUAUGUCUCAAACCCAUUAUGAGCCUGUUGUUAAUGUAUCUCAGACUUGUACCCCUAACUUGACUGGUCUGGCCGGGGCAUCUUCCUUUUGCGCAAAUACUCCCAUAAGACUAGAGUUUCCUGAAUUCGGGGUAUCUAAGGAGAUUGCAGAUGUAUUGCAUUUUUUAGAACGAUGUGAAAGCUAUCUGGAGGUAAGACCUCUUUCAUGGCCCGAGAUGCUUGGCACAUUGAGUACAGUUUUAAAAGGUUCAGCCUUGAGUUGGUGGAGGGCGGCCAAAUGUACAGUCUAUGACUGGAAAUCAUUUAAAGAAGCUUUCAAGGCAGCCUUUCUUCCUGCAGACUACAUGAGUGAAGUGGAGGAAAAUUUGAGAAUGAUGGUGCAGCAACCUGGACAAAAGCUCAGAGACUUUGCAUAUGAUUACAGGGCUUUGUGCAUAAAAUGGAAACCCGAGUUGAGUGAGGAAGAGCUUGUAAACAAGAUCCUCAAUAACAUCAACCCUAAAAUAGCAGGUUCCCUGAGGGGCACUGUACAUUCGGUGGAACAACUCGUUAAGAUUGGAUCCAUGGUGGAAAAAGAUUGUAUGAGCAUAAAAGAUUACUGGCAAAAAGUCAAUGACCAAGCGGGUAAAGACAAGAUAAAUAAAAGAGGCUCUAACAAACCAGUUGUACCAACUGUGUCAGCAGGUCUGUUGGUGAUUCAGCGACCACACCAUUGGAAUCAAAUUAAUCCAGCAUCGCUUUUGGUGGUCCCUAUCAUACUAGAUGGAUGGCAAGUUGAGGCUGUGGUGGAUACAGGAAGUGCUUUUACCCUGAUGCAAGAGAGCCGAUGGAAAGAAAUUGCAGGUGUGUAUGAUGAAAUUCACAAUGUGAAGCAGAACUUUGUGAUGGCUGAUGGCAAGAUGCAUCAAUCGAAGGGACAAGUAGAGCUGAAGUAUGAUUGGCACCAAGAAAGGGGGAAGGUGAAGGUGUAUAUAAUGGAAGACUCCCACCUGGUCUUUCCCGUUGUUUUGGGAUUAGACUUUUUAACUCGUGUGGGUGCCACCUUUGAUUUCUCCCAACUCUGUUACAAACUACCCUCUAAAAAAGAUGACUCUGGUUAUCCUUUUAUCUGUAGCCAGCAACCAUCUUUUGUACAAAGAUUAGGAAAUCCAAUGAUGGGCUCUCGUCCCCAGAGCAAUCUUAGCUUGUAUUAUCCUAUAACGGAGGAACAAUCUUUUUCCUUUUUAAGAACCAGACAGGAUGAGCCAGGAAUGGUUGAAGGAGAUCUGUUCCCCUCCGAAGUGCAGCAGCUGAUGCAGGAAUGGCCGAAUGUGACUUCAGGAAAAUUGGGUAAAACGUCGGUGAUAAAACAUCAAAUUCAGACAUCAGAUGAAAUUCCAGUAAAAUCCAGGGCAUAUAGGGUUUCACCGUUUAAAAAGAAGAUUAUUGAGGAAGAAGUAGAAAAGAUGUUGAAAGCCGUCUCUCUCUCCCUGGUCGUCACCCGUAGUCCUGGUAGAGAAAACUGAUGGAACGUACCGAUUUUGUGUUGACUAUCGGAAGGUGAAUAGUAAAACCAUUUCUGAUGCAUAUCCCAUGCCCAUGAUACAUGACAUUUUGGAGUCUUUAGAUGGGGCAACGUGGUUCUCCUCCUUAGACCUGAAGUCAGGUUAUUGGCAGGUGGAGAUGGCAGAGGAGUCUAAGCAGAAAACUGCCUUUAUUACGACAGCGGGGCUGUUUCAAUUUAAGACCAUGCCGUUUGGAGCACGGAACUCAUCAGCCACUUUUCAGCGGUUGAUGCAGACCGUAUUGAGGGGAGUUCUGGGAAAAAGCUGUUUCGUGUAUAUUGAUGAUAUCAUCAUAUAUUCAAAAACAAAAGAACACCACCUAGUUGAUUUGAGGGUUGUGAUGGAGAAAUUGUCCAAAGCAGGAUUAAGUCUGAACAUGAAGAAGUGCCACUUCUUUCAACGUCGUCUGAAGUUCUUGGGACACAUAGUGUCAGCACGUGGUGUAGAGGUGGACCCAGGCAAGACUCAAGCCAUCAACGAAUAUCCAGUACCGGUUGAUAUUCUGUCGCUACAAAGGUUCCUAGGACUUGUAGGGUGGUAUCAUAAGUUUAUACCUCAGUUUGCGGAUAUUGCUGCACCUUUGAAUAAUAUGAAGAGGAAGGGAAUGAGCUGGAAUUGGACACAGGAAUGUCAAGACAGUUUUGAACAACUAAAAAGAGCUGUCACAAACCCUCCUGUGCUAUCUCAGCCUAAUCUGUCACUCCGAUUCCAGGUUCAUACUGAUGCAAGUGAUGUGGGGCUGGGCGCUGUCCUUACACAGUGUACUGAAGAGGGGGAGAAAGUGAUUGCCUAUGCUUCAAGAAUGCUAAAGGGUGCUGAAACUAAUUAUUCAACCUCGGAGAAAGAGUGUUUGGCGGUAGUCUGGGCGGUAGAUAAGUGGAGGCACUACUUGGAAGGAGUGGAAUUUGAAGUUUAUACAGACCAUGCUGCCUUGACUUGGGCCUUUAAUUGCCCGAAGACAUCCUCAAGGUUGACAAGGUGGAUUCUUCGACUGCAAGCUUUUAGUUUCAAGGUCUUCUAUCGCCGGGGUUGCCUCAACCAGGUACCAGAUGCUCUUUCAAGAGUAUAUCAGCCCCGCUCGGAAGGUGGAAUACCAUGCAUGGUCAUGACAAGAUCCAAAGUCACUACUGACUUGCCACACAAUCUGUCUGAGAUAGCUAAAGCCCAGGCUAUUGACCCUGAUAUACCAUCAUUGAAAAAUAAUAAUCAUGAUCUGCUACAGAAACCAGGGAGGAUAAGAAUGGAAGAACAUCAAGGCAUCCUGUAUCGACGAGUACCUCUCAAACAGGAAGGGUAUAAAUUCCAAGUUGUGGUCCCACAAGCCUUGAAGUCGUUCUUGCAGUACUUCCAUGACAACCCCCUUGGGGGGACAUCUGGGCAGGUUAAAGACACUCAUGAGGGUCCUGGAGGUGGCAUGGUGGCCUACCAUUCGUAAAGAUGUUUGUGAACAUGUCAAGACAUGCGACAUCUGUCAAAGAUACAAGGGAGAAUGUUCCAAACCAUCCGGGCUGAUGCAGUCAACAGAAGUUACAGAACCCAGCCAUACGCUGGGAAUAGAUCUUAUGGGUCCUCUUCCUUUAAGUAAGAAAAGAAACACUGUCCUGCUGGUGAUUGUUGAUUACUAUACAAAAUGGGUUGAACUCUUUCCCUUAAAAGAUAGUACGACACCGAAGAUAGGGAAAAUACUCAAGGAAGAGGUCUUUACUAGGUGGGGGUACCUCGAUAUCUUAUAUCUGACAGGGGGCCGGCAGUUCACUUCGAACCUUUUGGUUGAACUGUGUAAAGAGUGGGGAGUGGGGCAGAAAUUGACAACCAGCUAUCAUCCCCAAACAAAUUUGACCGAGAGAGUAAAUAAGACCUUGAAGACUAUGAUUGCGUCAUUUGUUGGAGAUAAGCAUUCAAAUUGGGAUCAGUGGUUACCAGAGCUAAGAUUCGCUAUUAAUUCAGCACAUCAUGAAUCGACUGGAGUGACCCCAGCACAACUGAUGCUUGGAAGAUCCUUGAAAGGACCACUUGAGAGACUGUUAUAUAAGCCACCGUCUCCGAACCAAGCUGCCUAUUCACUGCUAGACAGACAAAGAAGAUUGGCAGAUGAGGUAGCACGUAGAGUGGGAAUGCAACGUGCCAGACAAGCCAGAUAUUAUAAUGCCCAGCAUAAAGAUGCGCAGUUUAGGCCAGGUGAUCUGGUUUGGUUCCGUUCUCAUCCUAUCUCUAGUGCUCCUAACAGGUUUUCAGCCAAGUUUGCGCCUAAAUGGGAGGGGCCUGCUAGGGUUGAAAAGAAAUUAGGGCCAAGUAAAUUACAGUAUAAGAUGGGUUCUCCAGGAAAAGCUGACAAUAUUAAUGUUGUUAAUUUGAAAAGGUACUAUGGUCCUAAUCCUACUAUGUUAUAGAUUGGGGUUGGGAACUAUGUAGCACCGCUACAUAUUAAUAUUGAAUUUAUGUCAGUGUGUUAUGUAAGAAUGGAAAUUGUAUUAAGAUGGUUAAGUUGUAUAUCUUGAUUACUAAUACCAUGAUGUUCUUUUGACUCCAUUUCCUAUAAUGCUGUGCUGGACUCAUGUAUAAUUUCCUGUUGUUGGUUCUUCCUGUCUGCUGAUUUUCUUUAUGAAUGAUGAUUUGAAUCAGCAGAAGGAUGAUUUUUGUAUGUAUAUAAGGGGGUAGGAACCAAUGGGUGGGGGUGUGGUGUUUCCCGGGAAGUUUUCCAAUCGUCGGACCUCUAGGUUUCCAGGUGGAUAUCCUCGUUUGCAGUUAAUGCCUCGCUGGCAGGAUUUACUUGUGUUUUGUUGGAGCGUCUUGUGACUGUUUGGAACUUGUAUUACAACACGGCACCGGGGACUGGGGUAUGUUUGUCCGGGACUGACCAGGUUCGCGGUAAGAGCUACGCAAUUCAGCUGGUGAUGCAAAGCUAGUGUUAUGUAAGAAUGGAAAUUGUAUUAAGAUGGUUAAGUUGUAUAUCUUGAUUACUAAUACCAUGAUGUUCUUUUGACUCCAUUUCCUAUAAUGCUGUGCUGGACUCAUGUAUAAUUUCCUGUUGUUGGUUCUUCCUGUCUGCUGAUUUUCUUUAUGAAUGAUGAUUUGAAUCAGCAGAAGGAUGAUUUUUGUAUGUAUAUAAGGGGGUAGGAACCAAUGGGUGGGGGUGUGGUGUUUCCCGGGAAGUUUUCCAAUCGUCGGACCUCUAGGUUUCCAGGUGGAUAUCCUCGUUUGCAGUUAAUGCCUCGCUGGCAGGAUUUACUUGUGUUUUGUUGGAGCGUCUUGUGACUGUUUGGAACUUGUAUUACAACACGGCACCGGGGACUGGGGUAUGUUUGUCCGGGACUGACCAGGUUCGCGGUAAGAGCUACGCAAUUCAGCUGGUGAUGCAAAGACUAUGGGGACUAUCUUAAUUACAUUCGGUGGACUUUGUUCAUGUGGUUGAUCUAGGACAGUGGUUCCCAACCCUGGGGUCGCGACCCCCACUAGGGGUCGCUAAUAAUUUUCGAGGGGUCGCCAGUCGCCAAUCAUUUUUUUUUUUAAACAGCACGAUAAAUUAAUUCUGAUUAAAAUAAUUCUGAAAAAAAAAUGUAAAAAAAUUAAAUAUGACCAAAAAAAAAUCCUUAACGCCGAGAAUUUUGCAACAUAUCGCGAGAGUGGGAAGAUACAGACGUAACUUCGAAAAAAAAACGAGGCAAAGAGAAAAUAUGGCAAAGCGGCGAGGAGAAGAUAAAAAUGAAUGCGCUAAAAAGAAAACAAGGCCUUAUUUAGACAGUUAUCUUGAAUUUGGUUUCAUUGAAGCGAUGGACAAGGUGAGAAUUGAGUGUGUAAUCUGUGGUGAGAGACUAGCGAAUGAAAGCAUGAAGCCCUGCAAACUAAUGAGACAUCAGAGCACCAAACACCCACAGACGGUGGGUAAACCUACAGAAUUUUUCCUGAGGAAAAAAGAACUUGUUAUGUCAAAUAGACCCCAGAACAUAAUAGAUGUUUUUACAAGAGCUGGAAAUGAAAAUAGACAGGCAACGGUUGCAUCCUUCGAGUGCGCUCUCUUAAUUGCCCAAUCAAAAAAGCCACACACCAUCGGGGAAACUCUGCUCAAACCCGCAUGUGUAAAAAUGGCAGAAAUAAUGUGCGGGGCACAGGCAGCUUCAAAACUAAAAACUGUACCUCUGUCUAAUAAUACAAUAAAGCACAGAAUCGACAGAAUGGCAAAUGAUGUUGAGAACACACUGAUUGAAAAGUUAAAGAUGCACCCAUUUUCCAUCCAACUUGACGAAACGUCUACUGUGGCGGAUGAAGCAGUCCUCAUUGCAUAUGUGCAGUACGUUGAUGACUCCGAACUAAAGCAGGACAUACUUUUGUCGACUAAUUUGUCUACAACAACACGAGGAGAAGAUAUUUUCCACGCGAUUGACACGUACUUCACAAAGAAUCAGAUUCCCUAUAAUAAUUUAGUCGCAUGCUGCACUGAUGGAGCUGCUUCAAUGAUGGGAAAAAACAAGGGCUUCAAUGCACGUUUGAAAGAAAAAGCACCCUACUGUCUUGUGUUUCACUGUAUGAUACACCGUCAAGCCUUGGCCAGCAAACACCUCUCUGAUGAACUUAAUGAAACAAUGAAGACAGUUGUAAAGAUCGUUAACUUUAUAAAAGCCCGCCCGGUAAACAAGCGAAUCUUUGCGGAGCUGUGUGAAGAUGAGGUGCAUCAGACACUCCUCCUUCAUACCGAAGUGCGCUGGCUAUCAAGAGGCCAAGUGUUGGUUCGUUUUAUUGAACUAAAAGAAAAAAUAAAAGAGUUCCUGAAAAUGAACAAUCAGAAGCUGUUUGACGAAAUGACAGAUGCAUUUCUCAUCAGAACGUCAUACUUGGCGGAUAUUUUCAGCCUCUAUAAUGAAACAAACAAGCGCA